rnacentral:rRNA from 1 species
GACGAACGCUGGCGGCGUGCUUAACACAUGCAAGUCGAACGGAAAGGCCUGCUUUCCCUUGUGGAUUGCGGGUACUCGAGUGGCGAACGGGUGAGUAACACGUGAGUGAUCUGCCCCCAACUUGGGUAUAAGCCUGGGAAACUGGGUCUAAUUCCCGAUAGGACUGCAGGGUGGUGCCUGUGGUGGAAAACGAUUUUCUAGUGGUUGGGGAUGAGCUCGCGGCCUAUCAGCUUGUUGGUGGGGUAAUGGCCUACCAAGGCGGCGACGGGUAGCCGGUCUGAGAGGGUGGACGGCCACAUUGGGACUGGGAUACGGCCCAGACUCCUACGGGAGGCAGCAGUGGGGAAUAUUGCACAAUGGGCGGAAGCCUGAUGCAGCGACGCCGCGUGGGGGAUGACGGCCUUCGGGUGGUAAACUCCUUUCGACCGCGAGGAAGCCACCUGGUUGGAAGGGUGGUGACGGUAGUGGUAGAAGAAGCACCGGCUAACUACGUG